GGGGGCGACUUGGCUUCGACGUGGGUUACAAAGUUGAAGAGGGCAUGCCGAGGACUGUUCACCUCGUAAAUCAAACAGAAAAAACUAAACGCAAACAAUAAAACGUUCGCAUUAGCAGCUUAAUCGCUCGCUAGCCGCCGUUCUCGGUUGUCUUUGGCUGAGAUAAUGGCGUCAUUUACGAAGAAUCGACGGUAUUUGGGUGACUUAAAUACGGUUUAAAUCCAAGGUCAAUCGCGAGACAAGUGUCAGCUGGGUUGAUGCGACUCUCGCUAAAGUUGAAACAAUCCAGCUAAGCAUGUAGAACUCUCAAUAGAGGGCUUGCGGACGGGGGUUCGAUUCCCCCCGCCUCCACCA
rnacentral:tmRNA from 1 species